rnacentral:rRNA from 1 species
AACGAACGCUGGCGGCAUGCCUAACACAUGCAAGUCGAACGAGACCUUCGGGUCUAGUGGCGCACGGGUGCGUAACGCGUGGGAACCUGCCCUUAGGUUCGGAAUAACUCCCCGAAAGGGGUGCUAAUACCGGAUAAUUUCUUCGGACCAAAGAUUUAUCGCCUUUGGAUGGGCCCGCGUUGGAUUAGCUAGUUGGUAGGGUAAAAGCCUACCAAGGCGACGAUCCAUAGCUGGUCUGAGAGGAUGAUCAGCCACACUGGGACUGAGACACGGCCCAGACUCUUACGGGAGGCAGCAGUGGGGAAUAUUGGACAAUGGGCGAAAGCCUGAUCCAGCAAUGCCGCGUGAGUGAUGAAGGCCUUAGGGUUGUAAAGCUCUUUUACCCGGGAUGAUAAUGACAGUACCGGGAGAAUAAGCUCCGGCUAACUCCGUG